AUGGAAGUUUGUGUCCGUGCAUCUUUCAUUGAAUUAUUCCUCUUUUCAGAGUUCUCGACACUGCCGUCCACCUAGGGGAGCACCGCUGCCAUCCACCGGGGGACGGAGCAGCCCGACCGCGGCGAACGGCUGCCGUCCGUAAGGAGGAACGGGACUGCCUGGAGUGAUGGAGUCGCUGCCAGGGGAGGAGGAAUGUCCCCACGUGCCGCCAGGAAAGCAGAGGGGCAUUCUGUCUGCUGGGGGUCGGAGGUUUGUCUCCGGUCCACCCAGGGAGGAGUGGCUGUCGUCCGCCUGAGAAUGUGGAGGACUGGUCGGGGACCACGUGAUGGCGCAUCAGAGAACCAUUGAGUCGAGGAAGGCGGGGAUGGCCAGCCGGCAGACGGGAUGCAAGGCAUGCCCCUCCUCAGGGAAAGAGUGGGGGAGAUGUACAUCAUGACAGGCGCUCCCAGGCCUGAGGCAACGCCGGGAAGAGUGUAGAGCAGAGGAGGGCUGGGCCAUGUUUGAAUGACGCACACCCGGUCCCCAAUCAGCAUGAUUGGGCACGCGAAGGAUAAAGGCAGCCAGUGAAGACAGUUUGAGAGAGAGACAAUUACAGGCAGCUGCCCUGUAUGUGUUUGUGUGUGUCUUUUUAUUUAAUUAAAUAUGAUUUAUAUUGUUAAGCUGGUUCUCACCUUCUCCUUUCCCUUGAACCCCCCCUUGCAGCUACAUUUUAUUGUAACGUGGUUGGCAAUGAUUGAAUGGUGCUGGACAUUACUUUGAAUCAGAACGAAUUAUGCAAAUUUCUGAUGUGAUGUCUGUAA